rnacentral:rRNA from 1 species
UACAGAGGGGGCAAGCGUUGUUCGGAAUUACUGGGCGUAAAGGGCGCGUAGGCGGCCUUCUAAGUCGAACGUGAAAUCCCCGGGCUCAACCUGGGAACUGCAUUCAAAACUGUCGAGCUAGAGUAUGGUAGAGGGUGGUGGAAUUUCCUGUGUAGCGGUGAAAUGCGUAGAUAUAGGAAGGAACACCAGUGGCGAAGGCGACCACCUGGACUGAUACUGACACUGAGGUGCGAAAGCGUGGGGAGCAAACAGG